UACGUAGGUGGCAAGCGUUAUCCGGAAUUAUUGGGCGUAAAGAGCGCGCAGGUGGUUAAUUAAGUCUGAUGUGAAAGGCCGGGGCUCAACCCCGGGACUGCAUUGGAAACUGGCAUGCUAGAGUGCCGGAGGGGCAAGCGGAAUUCCUAGUGUAGCGGUGAAAUGCGUAGAUAUUAGGAGGAACACCGGUGGCGAAGGCGGCUUGCUGGACGGUAACUGACGUUGAGGCUCGAAAGCGUGGGGAGCAAACAGG
rnacentral:rRNA from 1 species